GAGACAGAUACAAAGCAUGAGCCCAAAGAAGGAAGCAUAAAAUUCAGGAGCACAUUCAGGCUGCCUGCCCUUUGUCGACUGGAGUCCUGUUUUCCUUGCCUUAGAGGCACUCGGAAGUUUUUCCUCGCUGGACCUGACUGUCUCCUUUUCUUUUGAGACUUCGUGGGAGCUAAAUUUAAACUUGAUUAACAACAUUUAGUCCAAGGAGGGUCAGGAUACUAUUUUCAUGUUAAAUGCUGCUCUUUCGGCCCUCACAAUGAGAUCCCUUCUGAUUUUGUUGCUAUGGUGUGAGAGACAAAACAACAACAACAAAAAAAAAAAACAGCAUAAAACAUUUGAUUGGUUGAUUCUGAUCAGAGGUGGAAAAAGGGAUUAAUACCUCUUUUGUAAAAAUCUAUUGACAGCUCUAUUUGUAAAACCUCACAAAUACUCCUAGUAAUGAUAUUUUUACUCUUUACUAUUGAACUUCAACUUAAUAUUUAGGGCACAGCUUGGAGUCAGUUGCUCAAGGAAACUCCCAGACUCCAGAUCCCAUUCUACAACCACUAACUUAAUUUUUAGCAUUUUCCAAGGUGUGAUUAAAUCAUGAGACUGCAAGUUCCAUUAGUGGAGGCAUAGCAUCUCUUGUGCCCCGCCAAGGGGACUGAAUAUAUAAAUGGACAAUGGCCAGAUCACAUAUGAGAGCAGAACUCCAGUCUUCAACCUCUGCAGCUAUCACUCUUCUAAGCCAAACUAUAACCUCUGGCCUAGAAUGGUCAGCAGAACAGAAUGGUAUGCUCCCCACCCAAAUCACAUAAAGGCACCACUCCCACUCAGCCACCUCAUGCCAGCAUGAGGCUCCCCCCAUGCCAACAGCCUCCAGUCAGAGCAUACCUGAAGCCUUCCUUCUUCUUCACUAGAAAGAUUUGCCAGUCCUCUGCCUGCCUUUGAGUAUCUACCAGAAGGAAGAUACUGUGGCUGAUUUCCUUGCUCUAACAAAUGGAAUAAAUAGCCUCUGUUUGUUCUCA